UACAGAGGGAGCAAGCGUUGUUCGGAAUUACUGGGCGUAAAGGGCGCGUAGGCGGUUCGAUAAGUCCCGUGUGAAAUCCCUCGGCUCAACUGAGGAAUUGCAUGGGAAACUGACGGGCUUGAGUUCGGGAGAGGGAAGCGGAAUUCCGGGUGUAGCGGUGAAAUGCGUAGAUAUCCGGAGGAACACCGGUGGCGAAGGCGGCUUCCUGGACCGACACUGACGCUGAGGCGCGAAAGCUAGGGGAGCAAACGGGAUUAGAUACCCCGGUAGUCCUAGCUGUAAACGAUGAGUGCUGGGUGUAGGGGGUAUCUACCCCCCCUGUGCCGAAGCUAACGCAUUAAGCACUCCGCCUGGGGAGUACGGUCGCAAGGCUGAA
rnacentral:rRNA from 1 species